CAGCAGUGGGGAAUUUUGGACAAUGGGGGCAACCCUGAUCCAGCAAUGCCGCGUGAGUGAAGAAGGCCUUCGGGUUGUAAAGCUCUUUUGUCAGGGAAGAAACACCGGCUCUAACACAGUCCGGGAAUGACGGUACCUGAAGAAUAAGCACCGGCUAACUACGUG
rnacentral:rRNA from 1 species